UACGUAGGUGGCAAGCGUUGUCCGGAUUUACUGGGUGUAAAGGGCGCGUAGGCGGGAUUGCAAGUCAGAUGUGAAAUGCAUGGGCUUAACCCAUGAACUGCAUUUGAAACUGUGAUUCUUGAGUAUCGGAGAGGCAGGCGGAAUUCCUAGUGUAGCGGUGAAAUGCGUAGAUAUUAGGAGGAACACCAGUGGCGAAGGCGGCCUGCUGGACGACAACUGACGCUGAGGCGCGAAAGCGUGGGGAGCAAAC
rnacentral:rRNA from 1 species